ensembl:lncRNA ERICH2-DT ERICH2 divergent transcript
GGGCGCACACACCCUCGGAUUGACGUGCGCACGCGCACCGGUUACCUUCAGGAGCGCCGAAGAAGGAAAGAAGAACACAGAGCCCGAGGCAAAGCUUAAGUGCUUACGCUUUUGUCGGGAGGUACAGACCCAGCUCUGCGAGAGCCAGGGGAAAAGGAAGAGAGGCAGGGAAGGAAUGGCAGCAAGUACAAGGUGAUGAAUGACUGCACUGGCCAUUGCUUCAUGAAGAGCCACGAAAAAACAGAGCCGGUUUCUCAGCAGGUGGCUGGCUGCUCAGUCACAAAGGACCUCUUUGGACAGGCUUUAUGGAAAUACUGUGCCUAGGACAGUCGCUCAAAGGCAGGAGGGAGAGAAAAUGCAUCUGCAAGCUCACUUUGUCUUCUUUCUUCUGCUGGUCAAAAUUUGCUGGCUGGGGCAGUUAACGCCCUCACACAUCCGAGUUGUGUCACCUGGCCCCUUUGGUAGCCACUGGGGAAGCCAGAUCUAGGCAUGUGGCCUGAUGGCUCCUGCGGUGGAACCACAUGCUCACACUCAGUCAGUCACCACUGGGAUGCCCUGGGCAGGGCAGGCUGAGUGGCUGGGAGAUAGCUGAGCCUAAGAUAUCUAAGCAAGCACCUGUGAUGUAUGCACUGCAGUGUCCAAAUGUGAAAAAGCAAGAAAGGGAGAUAGAAGCAUAUUUUUUUCUGGAGAGAAGGAGGAAACCACCAGGAGAAUACAAACAGAAAAAAGCUUCCUGAGAGUGUAAAGCUCGUGUCUGUUCUGCUGUCUGCUGUUUCCCUGGCGCCUGACACAGUGACUGCCACAUGAGAAGAGCCCCUAAAAUAGUGAAAUAAAUGAAGAAUCACAUGAGUGAAAUCCUCUUGGUACCUGAGUAUGGGCAAAGCUGGAAAACAGUGAUGGAGUUUUCCAUAGCAGCAUCCUAAGAAGACACCCUUAAGCUAGUGAGAACGCAUUUUGAGGACAUCAGCAAACACAGCCUAAGAGGGGCUUAAAUGGUGAUAUCACCUGGGCUUGCUUUCUCAGGUACUCUUUUAAAAGGAUGUAAUUCACAGCUGUCCCAAGAAGACUCACCAGGAACACCGUUAAUAACUGCCUUAGAAGCAUUUUGUGAUCUAUCAUUUAGGAUAUUUGUUUAGUUGCUGUAACAGGUACCAAGUAACCAUGGCUUAAACAAGAUGGUCUGUCUUUCAAAUAAAAGUCCAGCUGGUAGGCAGCCCAGGAAAGGUGGGCUGCUCUGCUUCUUGUGAUGGUCUGAGGACCCUUAUGCCUUCUGUUUUGUUGCUUUGCCAUCCUCUCGGGUGUUGUCCUAUCCACAUGAUUGAGUUAAAUGCCCAACAUUAUGUCCGCAUUCCAGCCUCAAGAAAGAGGAAAGAAGAAAGGGAGAGCAUGCAACUUUCUUUUAAGGAUGUGACCUAGAAGUGACAUACAUCACUUAGGCUCACAUGCCAUUGGUGGGAACUUAGUCAUAUGGCCACAACUAGUUGCAAGUGAGGCUGGGAUAUGUCAUCUCUAGAUGGACAAUCAUGUACCUCCCAAAAACUUGGGGAUUACUAUUACCAAAAGGAAGAAAGAAAAUAUGAAUGGGUGGGAUUGGCAGUCUCUCAUCAGUAGGAAAGCAUCAUGACUGAUGCUGAGAAACUCUUUGCCCAAGUCUUUAUGGCCUAUAUAUGUAACUCCAUAUUACUGACAGUGUGCAUCACAGGGUGUGGUAGGUGGCUUCUAAAAUGGCCUCAAAUGAUUCCUGUCUCCUGGUACUCAUGCCCUUGUGUAAUCCCUUUUUCUUGAAUGACUUCCUUCAAGUUAAUAGACUGUUGAUAGGCUGCCACUUCUAUGAUUAGAUUAUUAAAGAUGUACCUCCAUUUUCCUAGCUGACUUUAUUGCCUUUGCAGCUUGCAAGCUUUGAUGAAGCAGCCAUGUUGGGGAGGCCCAUAUAGCAAGAAACCAAAGUCAGUCUCCAGGCAAUAGCCAACAAAGAACUGAGGUCCUCAGUCCAAUAGCCCACAAAGAACUGAAUCCUACCAAUAACCACUUGAGUUUGGAAAUGGAUCCCUUACCAAUCGAGCCUUCAGAUUAGACCCCAGCCUUGGCUGACACCUUCACUGUAGCCUUUUAUGUAAGAUCCUGAAGCAGAUGACGCAACUAAACUGUGCCUGGACUUCUGAUGCACAGAACCCGUGAGAUAAUAAAUACUGCCAGCUCCGUGACAGCAAGAACCUUGUAUGACUUUUUCAUGAUGGAUGUUCAUCUGUGCCAUCUGU